CAUAGAACAUGUUAACACUAGGAAGAAGUGAAGGAUCGUUGUUUUUGUGGGCUUUGCUCUGUUAAGCGAUAUAUAUUUUAAUGCAUGCUUUGGAGUUAUAUGGAUUCUGAUUACGAUGGCCACAUGCAUUGGUUUGUCAUUCGCCUUCAAAGUUUAGAAAGAAAGGGCCUUAAGCUUAUCAGCUUAUGCUGUUUGACUCCUGGUUGGUGAAUAAAGACACCGUACCAUGUAAGGAUGUAUGACUUGUAGAUACGUGGAUGCACCCUUGUCCUGUAUAAAAUCCUUGCAUUACAUGGAGACUUCUGCAGGAAUUCAUACUUUUUAAUCCAUUUGUUUGGUAAUUUACUUUUAUGAUCAGGUACUAGGGGCUGACUAUUGUCUCAAUGUAAUUUGCUUUUUUUGUUUUUGUAGUGCUUGUGAUCAUAUGCUCUUCAACAAUCGUGGGUUGGCUUAGUUGGACUUGUUGCGCCACAAUCUUAGGAUGGUUGGGGGAAAAUCUUGGUCUUCGAUUGCUUACGAAACUAAGACGGCAGAAGUUUGGCCAGGGUUAUUUACACCUUCCUGAUAAAGUGUAAGUUGCUGUUGCCACGCAGCCUACAACUUCAAUCAUUAAAAAAAAAAAAAGAGGGGAGGUUCGGACACGGGUCGGGUGGCUAGAUUAUGUCGUUGAAUUGUGGUACGUUCCAGCAAAGGAGACGAAACCUGGUCGCGAGGCCCGGCUAGCCAUCUGUUGUCCCUUGGAGAUGAGUUCUGACGGAUGCCAAUUGGGAUUUGGUUUAUGGCCUGUCUCCAAUUUGGACGCAGCUAGAAGCUAUCAGCCCUCCAGCACCACCAGCACCCUUGUGAAAACCCCUUGCUUUUUCCACCAAAAAGAAACAUCAUAGCCAUGAAAUCUGUAUGAUCAGCAGGGAGUUGGCAAUGGAUAUUGGUGGGCUUCUUGUUUUGGAUCUUCACCA